GAUGAACGCUGGCGGCGUGCCUAAUACAUGCAAGUCGAGCGAACAGAUAAGGAGCUUGCUCCUUUGACGUUAGCGGCGGACGGGUGAGUAACACGUGGGUAACCUGCCUAUAAGACUGGAAUAACUCCGGGAAACCGGGGCUAAUGCCGGAUAACAUUUAGAACCGCAUGGUUCUAAAGUGAAAGAUGGUUUUACUAUCACUUAUAGAUGGACCCGCGCCGUAUUAGCUAGUUGGUAAGGUAACGGCUUACCAAGGCAACGAUACGUAGCCGACCUGAGAGGGUGAUCGGCCACACUGGAACUGAGACACGGUCCAGACUCCUACGGGAGGCAGCAGUAGGGAAUCUUCCGCAAUGGGCGAAAGCCUGACGGAGCAACGCCGCGUGAGUGAUGAAGGUCUUCGGAUCGUAAAACUCUGUUAUUAGGGAAGAACAAAUGUGUAAGUAACUGUGCACGUCUUGACGGUACCUAAUCAGAAAGCCACGGCUAACUACGUG
rnacentral:rRNA from 1 species